UAGCUACAUAAUAGACUGUGAA
rnacentral:siRNA from 1 species